ACCGAUAUAGUUCAGUUGGGAGAGCGUUAGUCUAUAGGUCGAACGUCCCUGGUUCGAUCCCGGAAUUUGGCA
rnacentral:tRNA from 1 species